GGUGCUGCAUGGCUGUCGUCAGCUCGUGUCGUGAGAUGUUGGUUAAGUCCGUAACGAGCGCAACCCUGUCCUUAGUUACCAGCACGUUAUGGUGGGCACUCUAAGGAGACUGCCGGUGGACAAACCGGAGGAAGGUGGGGAUGAUGUCAAGUCAUCAUGGCCCUUACGGCCUGGGCUACACACGUGCUACAAUGGUCGGUACAAAGGGUUGCCAAGCCGCGAGGUGGAGCUAAUCCCAUAAAACCGAUCGUAGUCCGGAUCGCAGUCUGCAACUCGACUGCGUGAAGUCGGAAUCGCUAGUAAUCGUGAAUCAGAAUGUCACGGUGAAUACGUUCCCGGGCCUU
rnacentral:rRNA from 1 species